rnacentral:rRNA from 1 species
GAUGAACGCUGACAGAAUGCUUAACACAUGCAAGUCAACUUGAAUUUGGGUUUUUAACUUAGGUUUGGGUGGCGGACGGGUGAGUAACGCGUAAAGAACUUGCCUCACAGCUAGGGACAACAUUUGGAAACGAAUGCUAAUACCUAAUAUUAUGAUAAUAGGGCAUCCUAUAAUUAUGAAAGCUAUAAGCGCUGUGAGAGAGCUUUGCGUCCCAUUAGCUAGUUGGAGAGGUAACGGCUCACCAAGGCGAUGAUGGGUAGCCGACCUGAGAGGGUGAUCGGCCACAAGGGGACUGAGACACGGCCCUUACUCCUACGGGAGGCAGCAGUGGGGAAUAUUGGACAAUGGACCAAGAGUCUGAUCCAGCAAUUCUGUGUGCACGAUGAAGUUUUUCGGAAUGUAAAGUGCUUUCAGUUGGGAAGAAAGAAAUGACGGUACCAACAGAAGAAGUGACGGCUAAAUACGUGCCAGCAGCCGCGGUAAUACGUAUGUCACGAGCGUUAUCCGGAUUUAUUGGGCGUAAAGCGCGUCUAGGUGGUUAUGUAAGUCUGAUGUGAAAUAUGCAGGGCUCAACUCUGUAUUGCGUUGGAAACUGUAUAACUAGAGUACUUGGAGAGGUAAGCGGAACUACAAGUGUAGAGGUGAAAUUCGUAGAUAUUUUGUAGGAAUGCCGAUGGGGAAGCCAGCUUUACUGGACAGAUACUGACGCUGAAGCUCGAAAGUGGUGGGUAGCAACAGGAUUGGAUACCCUUUGUAGUCCGAUGGCGAAGUCCCCAUUGGAUAGCAAGCUGAUCUAAUACCGUGGAUCUUCGAGAGGGGGGCCCUGGCCAAAAAAUAUUGUUCCCUUUAAUGAGUGUUUAAUAGAACUGUUUUUCUCGGUGUCUUGCUCUGGUUGCAUGUGUAUGGAUGUGUAUGGCUUUGUUGCUUCUGCUGUUCUCGUUCCUGCCUUCUGUCCUUCCUGCUUUUUACUUUUCCUUUACCUGUCACUUUGUCUUUUGCACUCCUCUGCUAGUCUUUGCUGUAUGCACUUCUGUAUGUUCUGAUAUUAUCCUUUCUUCUGACACUGCCCUGCUCUUGCUGCUUUUUUCCUUUUAUUUCUGUUUGUCUGAAUUCUCUACUUGCCCCUAUGCCUGCCCUGCUGUGCUACGAUGUGUGCUACCUCCCUAGCUUGCUAACCUUUGCUCUGCUUCCUGCCUUACAUGCCCUGUCCCUUCUAGCUGCCUCACCUAGCCUAUGACUAUGACCUGCUAGACCUUAAUGACCUAUACCUAUAGCCUUA